rnacentral:ncRNA from 1 species
GAAAGCCGUAUGAUGGAAAACCUCACGUACGGUUUGAUGAGGGGAAACUGAAAUGAGUAGGACUGUUUUGGGAGGGAUAAUAUGAUCUUUGACGCUCAU